CCUUCUGUUCUUCUCAUUGAGCAAUCCAAUAAGCAAUACAUCAGGUGUUUCCUACACAAAGUCUUGACAUCUAUUGCUGCACUUGGCAUACGGCAGUAAAAUUGGUUUAUGUUGUCUUAUCCUGAUUUCCAGUACAGUAUAGUAGAAGCACUCUAUCAGAUUGGAUGGCUACCUGUUUCCUUUGUGAUGUACGGAUCCACAUAAGAAGGGAAUACAACUUGCUUCUCUUAUGGUGCUUUGUCCCAUCCCAAAUUCAAUUUGCAUGCAUCGGAGAUUGUUAGCUGUUGUGAUUACUAAGACUAAACCUGUGGCUGACCAUUCUUUCUUUUUACAGUGCUGGAUGUAGCAGACUCUUUCUGCUUGUGUUAAAUGGUAGCUGGUUUGAGUUCAAUGUAAUAAAACUAUUUGAUUUCUUCUUAAAGCAAAGAUAUACAGCUCUCCCGCAUAUUCAAGAGAUAAAAGAAAAAGAAGGCGAGCACAGGUAGAGAAAGAGAAAGAAGUUCUACAAAGUCUGGUGGCUGGAGGAGGCAACAAAAUGAAUGAAAUCUCAAUCUAAUUCAAGAACGCAUGGAGGGCAUCGGAGCAUGAGUAACUUGAUCCUUCCAACAAAGGAUUAAAUAUGAACUAAAUUUUAUCUUUUAUAUAUUAUUUUUAAUUUCUGCCAUAAAAUGAAAUAGCUGAUUUUGCUU